rnacentral:rRNA from 1 species
UGACAAUAAAUCACAAUGCGAGACUUUUAGUUUUGCAAUUGGAUUGAGAACAACGUAAAACUCUUUUCGAUAAGCCAUUGGAGGGCAAGUCUGGUGCCAGCAGCCGCGGUAAUUCCAGCUCCAAUAGCGUAUAUUAACGUUGUUGCAGUUAAAAAGCUCGUAGUUGAAGUGAGGGAGUGUGUGUUGUGAUCGAAUCGAUCGAGAGCAGUACCACCUCCCCCUUCCAGUGGGUGGAUUGGGGUAUUCAUUUAAUUCAUUAGGC